rnacentral:rRNA from 1 species
CACGUAGGGCGCAAGCGUUGUCCGGAAUUAUUGGGCGUAAAGAGCUCGUAGGCGGUCUGUUGCGUCCGCUGUGAAAACCCGGGGCUUAACCCCUGGCUUGCAGUGGAUACGGACAGACUAGAGGUAGGUAGGGGAGAAUGGAAUUCCCGGUGUAGCGGUGAAAUGCGCAGAUAUCGGGAGGAACACCGGUGGCGAAGGCGGUUCUCUGGGACGGUACUGACGCUGAGACGCGAAAGCGUGGGGAGCAAACAGG